rnacentral:rRNA from 1 species
GAGUUUGAUCUUGGCUCAGAUUGAACGCUGGCGGCAUGCCUUACGCAUGCAAGUCGAACGGCAGCACGGGAGCUUGCUCCUGGUGGCGAGUGGCGAACGGGUGAGUAAUGCAUCGGAACGUAUCCUGGAGUGGGGGAUAACGUAGCGAAAGUUACGCUAAUACCGCAUAUUCUGUGAGCAGGAAAGCGGGGGACCUUCGGGCCUCGCGCUCUUGGAGCGGCCGAUGUCGGAUUAGCUAGUUGGUGAGGUAAAGGCUCACCAAGGCGACGAUCCGUAGCAGGUCUGAGAGGAUGAUCUGCCACACUGGAACUGAGACACGGUCCAGACUCCUACGGGAGGCAGCAGUGGGAAUUUUGGACAAUGGGGGCAACCCUGAUCCAGCCAUGCCGCGUGAGUGAAGAAGGCCUGGUU